GCUUUCAUGUGCCUCAAUAGGUAGAAGGGAGUCCUGCUGUGUGUGUGUGUGUGUGUGUGUGUGUGUGAGAGAGAGAGAGAGAGAGAGAGAGAGAGAGAGAGAGAGAGAGAGAUUAGUUAAUUGGGGUAUUUGAGGCCUUGUACAUAAAAUUUACUAUCAGCAAUCAGUGCAGCGGGGAUUGCUGUAGUCUGAUGCCCUUUGGCCUUGUGAUCUGAUCCUAAUGAGAACUUUUUUAUGUGGCCGUUCACACCGCAUUUUAUGAAGGACACAUAUGAAGACAGACGCUGUGGCACGGUUAGUGUGAAGGAUAUCCUGGAUAUUUCACAACUCAUUUCCACUUCUACCAACAGUUAACAGACUGUUUUCAACGGCAAAGCUGUAUCGUCUUGCGAAAUCUAAGGAAUGACUGGACCGACCAUCUGGGCCUGGAGAAGUCGGCAUGCUGUCAGUGUUUCAUCCGCCCUUCUUGUCAAGCUCUAAUCCUGCAGUAACCCAGAAGCAGAUGCCACCAGCACGAGGGAGGAAUAGUGAGAAGGAGCUGCAGUACAACGUUAAGCUAUGUCCAGCCUGACUUAUAUAAACACUAUAGGUGUUAAUUCAACAUUGGGGAUUCUGCUUUAUACAUGGCAGAUGGUUGUGUGAUUUGUAUUUGUGAGCACCUCACUGCUGCCAAAAAUAACAAAAUAUAAUAACAAAGAUUAAAAUAAAUAAAUAAAUAAAUAAAUAAAGUUCAAACAGUUGCAGCACUUUUGACCUAAAUUUGUACAGGGAGUAGCUUUAUGAAAGCACUAUCAGUUCCAAGCAGAAGACAGGAGUGCUUGAUUAAGUUCUAUAUUGUUCAUGAUAACUGUAAUAUUACAAAGUGCUUCAAGAAUUAUAGUGACUUUUUUUUCUAUGCAGAAUAAGAUCCUGCUGUGAAUUUAUGCGUAUUGGAAACAUACCACAGAGAGCGAUCUGGCACUGUCAAGCUUGCUUUCCAUCAUUUUCCUACAAAUUCUUAAUUACCUACCCCUAGGAUAGACAGGCAUCUGAACAGCAAUUUAACAGUGUUGACUAGCACAAUGUCUUUUGACAAUUGAAGCAGCAAAAAAGGUGAUGCCAGAGCGUAUUAAACAUCACUGGUUUCUUUUCAUAAUAAUCUGUGCAUUGAUGGCUAUUUCAUACCACAGCGCUGUUGAGUUGUUGAAUCUCAUUGGCCAGAUGGUGUUGAUUAAUUUUCCAUAACAUCAUCUCUGACAAUAGUGCUGUCUGUAAUUUAAAUGAUUAUUCUAAUAUGAUAUCAUUAGCAACUUGUUCACAGAGAUGUGUAUGAUGGAUGAUCUGCAUAAUCUAAAUCUAAUAAUAUAGAGAUUACCCUGCUGGAAAAAAAAAUCUAUAGAAACCAUCAAAGAAAUUCUAAUGGUUUCCACUACUAAUACCAUUACAAGCCAUCAAACCAGUAAAGCCAUUACCAUUACCAUUAUUGGUCCUUAAUGGUAUCCACUAGACAUAACAUGCCACCAAUAGUAGGCAACAAAUUACUAGUAAAAACCCACAGGGACCAUUGCAGUUUCCAUUAAAACCAUUACAAUUACAUUCCUAUGAGGGAUUCUAUUGUAUUGUUUUUUUUUCAGCAGAGUAAAAGCAUGUUAUAUAACAAAGACAAACAUAUCAUUAUUAAUAUGGGGAAGUAAGAACAAUUAUUUAGCAUUAAUAGAAUGAGUCUUGAUUUGCCAAAUUGCAAUCUUUGGUAAAUCACUGUGGAAUAUAAGAAGAAUAAGACACUUAGAGAUGUGCUCCUAUAGGAAAAACAAUACACGUGGGGCAUUAUACCACCCUGUCAUGGAUUAUUUUCCUAUAACAGCACAUCCGAGUAUGUUUUAUUCCUUAUUUAUUAAACCACUUAGUAGGUAUAUAAUUACUGACUUAAGCCCAUCUGUUGCACAAGACCACCACAUAAUUUCAUUGGUGGUCUGUUCUCAACCAAGCAAUGAUAUUGAGGUUAUACAAAACCCCAGCAACACUGCUGUACCAGAUACAUUCCUGCCAGAAUUACAUACACACUGUCAUGAUGCUGUAGUGAGAAAAAUCCCCCACCAAAAUAAUAUCAGAUAAAUGGUGGUCCUAUAGUGUUCCUGUUCCCCUCAUGGAUAAAGGCAAGCGUGACUAAUAAUAUACUGAGCUUAUGUGCUUUACUCACAAAAGUGCCCUAAUCAACUUUAAUGAAUUAAAUUUUGCUUAAAACCAUUAGUGUGACAUUUAGCAGAAUAGACAAUUGCUACAUGGAAGGCUGAUCAUCUUUUUCAUAAUCUCUGACCGUGUGGCACACUUCAGACUGCUGUCUGUCCACUUCUUUUCUCUCAGUUCCACUCCCCUCCUCAUUCUCCUCCACCACAUGUAAAGCAUGCAGCUCUUCAGCUGGGCUGAAUGGAACAGUCCUGGUAUUAGCAUGUCAAAACCAGUCUGUGGUCCUCACUGAAAGUUGGGAGGAGCGAAUGAAACGACAAAGCCACAACAGAGACAGCUGAUCCACAAAAGGUGCCUGUUUAAGCACUCUUCCUCUCUGAGUCCAGCUGCUCUUCAGAACUGCUGCGUCACAAUGCGGAGGCGACAUUGAUAAGCACCAUGGCAGACUAACCAUAUGUCUGAAACAUACACACACACUCUGCUUUAAGAGGACAAAGACAAAUAAGGCUGU